AUGGCUGAGCCCCUAAAGGAGGAAGACGGCAAUGACGGCUCUGGGGAGCUUCCCUCUCCCCCCCCACAGUGAAAGCAGAACCCGCCCACACCGCGGCCUCUGUAGCCGCCAAGAACUUGGCCUUGCUUAAAGCCUGCUCCUUCGAUGUGACCUUUGACGUGGAUGACGAGUGUGAGAUCAUUGAAACCAUAGGCAACGGAGCCUACAGGGUGUUGUCCUCUGCUUGCCUCCGCCUCACCGGCCAGCAGGUGGCCAUCAAGAAGAUCCCUAAUGCUUUUGAUAUGGUGACCAAUGCCAAGCGGACCCUCAGGGAGCUUAAGAUCCUCAAACACUUUAAGCAUGACAACAUCAUUGCCAUAAAGGACAUCCUGAGGCCCAUUGUGCCCUAUGGCGAAUUCUAAUCUGUCUAUGUGGUCCUGGACCUAAUGGAGAGUGACCUGCACCAGAUCAUCCAUUCCUCACAACCACUCACACUGGAGCACAUCCGCUACUUCCUAUACCAGUUCCUGCGGGGCCUUAAGUACAUGCAUUCGGCUCAGGUUAUCCACCGUGACCUCAAGCCCUCCAACCUAUUAGUGAAUGAGAACUGCGAGCUCAAGAUUGGUGAUUUUGGUAUGGCCCGUGGUCUGUGCACCUCACCUGCUGAACAUCAGUACUUCAUGACAGAGUAUGUGGCUACGCGCUGGUACUGUGCCCCUGAGCUCAUGCUCUCCCUUCAUGAGUACACACAGGCUAUUGACCUCUGAUCCAUGGGCUGCAUCUUUGGUGAGAUGCUGGCCCGACGCCAGCUUUUCCCAGGCAAAAACUAUGUACACUAGCUACAGCUUAUCAUGAUGGUUCUGGGUACCCCAUCACCAGCUGUGAUUCAGGCUGUGGGGGCUGAAAGAGUACGGGCCUAUAUCCAGAGCUUGCCACCAUGCCAGCCUGUUCCCUGGGAGACAGUGUACCCAGAUGCCGACCGCCAGGCCCUCUUGUUGCUGGGCCGCAUGCUGCGUUUUGAGCCUAGCACCCGCAUCUCAGCAGCUGCUGCUCUUUGCCACCUCUUCCUGGCCAAGUACCAUGACCCUGAUGAUGAACCUGACUGUGCCCCACCCUUUGACUUUGCCUUUGACCAGGAAGCAUUAAGGAGGCCAUUGUGGCCGAGAUUGAGGACUUUCAUGCACACCCCGAGGGCAUCUGCCAACAGAUCUGUUUCCAGCCUUCCCUGCAGCCUAUGGCUAGUGAGGCUGGCUGUCCACAUGUGGAGAUGCCCAGUCCUGUGGCUCCCAGUGGAGACUGUGCCAUGGAGUCCCCCCCACCAGCCCCACCGCCAUGCCCUGGCCCUGUAACUGACACCAUUGAUCUGACCCUACAGCCACUGCCACUGGCCAGUGAGCCUGCCCUACCAAAGAGAGAGGGUGCCAUCUCCGACAACGCCAAGGAGGCCCUCAAAGCAGCCCUGCUCAAGUCCUUGCGGAGCCGGCUAACAGAUGGCCCCAGUGCACCCCUAGAGGCUCCUGAGCCUCGGAAGCCUGUGACUGCCCAGGAGCUCCAACUAGAGCGGGAGGAGAAGUGUCGGCGUCUGCAGUAGCCAGCCAAGGAGCGGGAAAAGCGGUGGCAGGAGCGGGAGCGCAAGGAGCAGGGAGCUGGGGCCCCCUGGGGGCCCCUCCACUGAUUCCCCUGGCCGGACUGGUGCUUAGUGACAAUGAGCGCAGCCUGCUGGAGCGUUGGGCUUGCAUGACCCCGCCCCCGGCCCCUGCCCCUGUGCCAGCACCAACGCCCACCCCCGCCCCAGCCCACCAGUCCUCCACCUGGCCCUGUAGCCAAGCCCUUUGGCCCCCCACCACAACCUGCAGACUCCACCUCUGGCCCUGCACCCGAGCCUGCCUGCCCACCCCCUGGCCCUGCAUCCCAUGUCACUGGCCCUUCAGGGCCCAUGCCUGUUCCUCCUCCACUCCAGACUGCCACCACCACCAGCCUCCUGGCCCCCCAGCCGCUUGUGCCACCCCCUGGGUUGCCUGGUCCCAGUGCCCCAGGAAUUCUGCCUUACUUCCCAUCUGGCCCACCACCUCCAGACCCCAGGGGAGCCCCUCAGCCUUCCACAUCAGAGUCACCUGAUGUUAACCUGGUGACACAGCAGCUGUCCAAGUCGCAGGUGGAGGACCCCCUACCUCCUGUGUUCUCAGGCAUGCCAAAGGGCAGUGGGGCUGGCUAUGGUGUUGGCUUUGACCUGGAGGAAUUCUUAAACCAGUCUUUUGACAUGGGAGUGGCUGAUGGGCUGCAGGAUGGCCAGGCGGACUCAGCCUCACUCUCAGCCUCCCUGCUCGCUGACUGGCUUGAGGGCCAUGGCAUGAACCCUGCCGACAUUGAAUACCUUCAGUGUGAGAUCCAGAUGGACUCCCCCAUGCUGCUGGCUGACCUGCCUGACCUCCAGGAGCCCUGAGGCCCACAGCCUGCGCCUUGCUGCCAGGGCAGACCAAGUUCCAGGGCCCGUGGGAACAUUCUUGAGGACUGCAGCCCUGGGCCCCACAGGUAAGGCCCGGCUUGGAUUAUUUCUGCAGGUUCAUCUCAGACCCACCCUUUAGCCCUAAGCAGCCACCUGAGCCACCACCGAGCCAUGACAGGAUUUGGAGACCCUGACUCCCUUUGGGUGAUUCUUUUCAGUAUUGUGUUAUUAUUAUUAUGUUAUUAUUACAGUCUUUUUGUCA